rnacentral:rRNA from 1 species
AUUGAACGCUGGCGGCAUGCCUUACACAUGCAAGUCGAACGGCAGCACGGGAGCAAUCCUGGUGGCGAGUGGCGAACGGGUGAGUAAAGUAUCGGAACGUGCCCAGUCGUGGGGGAUAACGUAGCGAAAGUUACGCUAAUACCGCAUACGAUCUAUGGGUGAAAGCGGGGGAUCGCAAGACCUCGCGCGAUUGGAGCGGCCGAUAUCAGAUUAGGUAGUUGGUGGGGUAAAGGCUCACCAAGCCGACGAUCUGUAGCUGGUCUGAGAGGACGACCAGCCACACUGGGACUGAGACACGGCCCAGACUCCUACGGGAGGCAGCAGUGGGGAAUUUUGGACAAUGGGCGAAAGCCUGAUCCAGCCAUGCCGCGUGCAGGAUGAAGGCCUUCGGGUUGUAAACUGCUUUUGUACGGAACGAAAAGGUUUGGCCUAAUAAGCUGAGCCCAUGACGGUACCGUAAGAAUAAGCACCGGCUAACUACGUGCCAGCAGCCGCCGUAA